rnacentral:misc_RNA from 1 species
GAAAGGGGUAGCAAUAUCCCGAGUAAACCGGCGCAAGGGUGAGUAACACGUAGGUAACCUGCCUUCAGGACGGGGACAACUCCGAGAAAUCGGGGCUAAUACCCGAUAAUGUCCCGCCACAGCAUUGUGGUGGGAUUAAAAGCUCGCAAGAGCGCCUGUAGAUGGGCCUGCGUCCCAUUAGGUAGUUGGUGAGGUAACGGCUCACCAAGCGGAAAAUGGGUAGCUGGUCUGAGAGGAUGAUCAGCCACACUGGAUUCUCAGACACGGUGAAGACUCCUACGGUAGGUCGUAGUGGGGGA